GGGAGAAUUCCCGAGUUGGCCAAAGGGGGCAGACUGUAAAUCUGUUGUCACUGACUUCGGUGGUUCGAAUCCACCUUCUCCCACCA
rnacentral:tRNA from 1 species